UGAUAAUAAUCUAUUCAAAGUAUUUGCUUUUUCAAGCCAAAAGUAGAGAGAGAAAAUAUCAAAGUAUAUUGUCAAAACUCAAUAUGUCGACUCAAAAACCCUAAAACAAUGAUUUUAAAUAGUUCACCCUAAUUAUGGAAACAAAAUAAUAAAAUUCAGAAAUCUCUUGGAUCAGGUGACGACAUUUGUGACAGCCUAUCAGGAGGCUGACGACUUAUCAUAAAUGUCAUCAGCUUCUUCUUUAGUUUUGGCUCUUCCUACUUAAGGCUGAUGACAAUCUUGAUGACUUAUCAACUCCUUGAUGACCUAUCACAAAAUAUCGUCAAGGCUCUGCUUCAGUACUUUAGUGCUGCCUUAGGUUGACGACAUUCUUAACAGCUUAUCAGACCCUUGACGACUUAUCACAAAAUGUCGUCACAGACUUCAACUUAGGCUAAUUCUCUAUCUAUGGCUGACGAUGACCUUGAUAGCUUAUCACAAGGCUGACGACUUAUCACAAAUGUUGUCAACCACACUUUUCUUCUGAUUUCAACUUCUUUUCUUCUAUUCUUAUUCGUUCUCUAUCAUAUCAGCUUCUACUGCAAAAUCAAACAUAAACCAAUAAAAAAAGAUAAAAGUUGCUUAAGACUUCACAAUUAUUCUUAGUUAAAAGCCUCAAAUGUGUUAGUGUUAGCUCACACAUCAAUACUACAAACCAACUCAGAAUCUUAGCACGAUAUGUAUGAAAAAAAUAAAGAACUCCAAAGAAUGACGCAUAGCCUCCCGAAGAUUGGAAAUGGCCAUCAAUGUUUUGACCCGCAGGACUCUAUUAGAAACUUGCUCUUGUACCAAUAAUACCAGUAAAACCUAGGCUCUGAUACUAAUUUGUCACAUCCCAAAUUUUGAGUCAUGAUGGCACCUACCAUAACCCACUAGUAGGUAAGCCGACACCAUAACCCGGAGCUAAUGCAAUGGGUUACCUUGGUAGAAACAUCCAACAUGGACCCUAUGUAGCAACACAAUAUAACAACAACAUUCUACAAACAAAAUUACUAACAUUCGAAUACCAAUACCAUGACCUGGUAGUAUAAGUACAAGAGCAACUCUAAAUCUGACAACAAAAAUUAGAAUUUGAAGUCUAGAAACUUAAAUAGUCUUAUACAACUGUCUUGAGUACAAAAGACAAGUAAAGAAAGAAUAAAAAGAGGGAAACUCAAACUCCAAGAUCUCGCCCUAUCCCCUGAUGAUCAACACAACACGAUCUCGACUCAACAGUGGAAACUAGAACUCAGGUUUGCACCAAAAAGGUACAUAAAUGCAGUAUGAGUACCAAAACACGGGUACUCAUUACGCAUCAUCGGCUGACUGAGCUCAAAUAUGAUAUAAAGAUGAGAUAAAGUAAGACAAUGAUCUUAAUGUCAAGGGGUAGGAUCGAACCUGAAUCUACUUUAAUACUACUGUAAGAACAUCUAUACUACUAAAGCAAUAACAUGACAUCCUGUUUCAAAAUACUCCAUAAUCACCAUAACAACUGAGAAUCAUUUUGAAAGAGUACAGUUAUAUACACAAUAUCAAAACAUCUACUUUAUAUAAUCAUCAUUAACCAUCUUUAGACCAUAAACACAAGAACUUACCACAACGUCCACUAUCAGGAAGUACACGAAAGAGAGCACAACAAAGAACGCAUCACAACAUCCCAUACCACCGAAGAAUAUAUAAAAGAACAUCAAACAAGAACUCAUCACAACAUCCUAUACCACCGGAGAGUACACCAAAGAAUACAACCAAUAAUACAAUAAAGCACAACUACUCCAUCAAUUUAACAAAAAUCGCAGGUAGCAUAACCCCGCCAUGGGUCAUUACCGAAAUCCACUUCCAAUUACCCAUACCUUAAUUCAACAUAAAGAAAGCAACAUUGUCAUAGCAUAGGUUUGUAAUCAUUAAUUCUAUAAUUCAUUGAUAAAUACUGCGAAGUCCACACUACUUAACCUUAUUUUUCCAAAAGUCAAAAGAUUACAAGUCUUAAAAUCACUAGUAAUCAAAUUGGGGAAAAACUACAAGACACCCAUAGUAUAGGUUAUUCAACUAUCAUAAGGCCAUUCUUUAACUAGGAUCAUCAUUACAUGAGUUAUCAACUAAGCCAUCUCAACUUCACAUGUUAGGAGAUAAUUUAACUAACCAUCACGCAAUACUAGAUCCAUCAUCACUAAGCAUGUCACAAACUUAAGGACUAGUUUCCAUAUUUUAAUCAAGUAAAGUCCACCAACUAGUUUACUAGGUUUCGAGGUUUCAAAUAAUAAUCAUAUACUUUAGAAGUAGCUAGUUAUCACAUAAGCCACCUUACUAGGCAAGAUUUCAUAGUAUAACCUCUUAUUCAAGUCAAGUAUAUAUAUAGGUUAGCCCUUGAAUUUUUUAUGAAAGUUUACACAUAACGCUAAGCCUUAACUUAAUAUUAGACAUAAAUUUCCCCUAGUAGCUAAUUUAGCAUCAACAAGGGUCACACCUCUUAUAUAGUUAUUUGGAACAAGAAAUGAAUAAUAAUUUACCAGGAGAGACCUCAUAAUUCAAGCAUAUAGGUGGUUGGCCCCAUAUGGCCUAAACUUACAAAUAUCAAUACAUAUAAGUAAAUUUGGCCCACACAGCAUCAUUAUGUUCUUACCUCUUUCGGAUUCAUCAGGCAUCAUCACAAUAUUGACAUAUUUCUCUGAAUUCAUCGGGAUUAUCAUAAUAUCACACAUUCCUCUAGAAUUGAACCGGGCAUCAUCAUAAUAUAACAUAUUCCUCCAAAUUCACCGAGCAUCAUCAAAAUAUCACAUAUUCCUCCGAACUCGAAUCGGGCAUCAUCAUAAUAUCACAUAUUCCUUCGGACUCGAAUCGGGUAUCUUUAUAAUAUCACAUAUUCCUCCAGAUUCACUGGGCAUCAUCAUAAUAUCAUAUAUUUCUCCAGACUCAAACUGGGCAUCAUCAUACUAUCACAUAUUCAUAUAGAGUCAAACCGAGCAUCAUUAUACUAUCACAUAUUUUUCUAGAUACAACAACAUACGUCCACAUGCAUAGCCAAACCAAUAACCAAAUACUCAAGCUCACAAUACAUAAAAAAAUAGGGAUGUGGGAUAACACUUGCCAUUUUACCUUACUAAUAAGCUUCACACGUAAUGUGAGCAUCAAUAAGAGCAUGAGUAUUUACCAAACAUUCACAAUAAUCACUUAACAAGGUUAUUCAAGUCAUGAUAAUAAGAAAAUAUGAUAAUCGAGUGCAACCAUCCCAACUUCUAUACAUAUACAUAUAGCUUGGACAAUCACUACGUAUCUAGGUCGCUAAGCAUUUACUUUGUUCAAGCUUAAGGUGGGUCAAUUCCCACUUCUAAAUCCCGAGAAUACCAAGCUUACUAAAAUAUGUCUAGCAUCUACCCAAAAUUAGGCUAAGUCAUCCAUACCUCACCAUAAAGUCUUACCAAUCCUUUCUAAAUCUAUAGGGAAAGUCUCUUCAAGAAUCCUUCCUAAGUAAACCCAACACCAAGGUCAUCUCCUAUCUAGGAAUUAUAUAGGUUAAUACACUCCUACAGAUAGAGAAGUAUACCAUUCAUGUCUACUUAGGACAACUAUAGUAUUCUCACACUAUUCAUGAGACCACAAUUAAGCUAACCAAGGUCCUAAAGUAAGUGUCAAAUAUCAUACCUUACAAAUCCAUGGACUAUAACAAUUAAUAAAUCCCAAGUUCACUAAUUAAUCAACUAUCGUCUAAAUUCCCCACCCAAUCUCGCAAGAUAUUAAUGAUUAUAUUAUAAACAAGCUCAAUCUGGACCACGAGUAAGCCUAACCUACCUUGAAUCCAAGCAAAUCAUGAACCAACGAGUUUUUCCUUUCCUUUUUGAGAAGCUUUCUCUUCCACAAGCAAUGCUAUCAACAAUAUAAUCUAAUCAUUACAACAAGAAUAAAAAUACCCAUUAUAGCACCAUUGUGCCAUGGGUUUCAAAAUGACAUCAAACCUCAAGUGGGUCCUACCUUUGGAAAAUGAGUUGCUGAUACCAACCCAUAGUCUAAAUAUUAUUAGGGAGCUAAUAACCCUCAAGAAAUUUAAGUAAAUCAAUCAUAUUUUUGGAUACAAUUGAACGUCAAAGACUUAGGAUUUUUUGGUCUAGAAAUCAAGAAAUUAAUAUCAAAUUUGAAAAAAUCUUACCUUAGAUUUGUAGAAGAAAAAUUAGAUUAACACAAGUUGCUAAGCUUCUAAUCAAUCGACAAGACUCAUUUUUUCUGUCAACAAAUAUUUAUGGCUUUUAGGGUUUUGAAAAUGCUGAAAAUAUCUCAAAAAUUGGCCAAAGGGCCUUUUUAUACGAGUUCAAAUGGGUCAGUAGGGUCAAAACUUGUUUUUCACCUACCAGACUCAUUCAGACUCUGUUUUUCACAAACGAACUAUGUAACCUUACUAAAUUUGAUAUUUUAGAUACAUUGGUGAAGUUAGAUUUGCCAUCCGAGGUCAUUUAAGCUACUUGUUGGUCCCACACCCAUAUAUUUCGACUUUUGACUUUUUGACUAAUGGGUCAAAUUAGCUUGGGUGCUGUGGGAUCCGAACCAAAAGUCUACCUAUCGUAAAAUCAAUAUUACAUAGCUACUGAUGUAGUCAAAAUUUGUAUCUGAAAUUGUUUUGGUAAAGUUUUUGUUUAGAGGCCAUUUGGAAUCGACGAAGACUUCAAAUUGGAAAAGUGGUUCUAAAAACCAAACAAACUGUCAUGUAACCGACUUAUCGAUUCCACCAAGUAACUAAUGACUUGUGACGGCUAUGAAGGAGCUCUAUAAGCAAAGAUAAGCAAAACACAGCUAAUGGCCUGGAGGUUCAUUACAAAUACACACUUGAAUUUAUUUUUGGUUAGAAAUGAUAUAAAUACCAAGUUCUUUAUCAACUACAGUAUAUGAAGGACUUUGUUGAGUGUCAACGCCUUUCCUUAUGUUAUCUUCAAGAAAAUUUUUCUUGUUCCUUCAACCUUUGCUAUUGUGGAGUUAUCCAUAUAAAUCUUCUCCUCAUCUUGAGCCGAAGCAUAAGAACCAAAAAACUCCUUGUUGGCACAUAUGUAGCAUGUGGCACUGGAAUCAAUCCAUCACUCUUUAGGAUUACCCACCAAGUUACAUUCUAAGAGCAUGGAUCAUAGAUCAUCCACUUUAUUUUUUGAUUCAGCCAUGUUGGCUUGAUCCUUCUUCUUGACUUUCUUUGGGGCCCGAUAAUCUAUGGAUUUAUGGCCAGCCUUGCCAUAAUUAAAGCAAUUUUCUUUGAACUUUUUAUUUAGAGGAUUGCUUUGUUGUUCAAAUGUUUUCUUUUAUUUCUUUAAGUUAUUAGGGUCAUCUUCAUCAAGAUUUGCUCCACUAAUUACAGAAUUCCCUUUUUCAUCUACUUUGUUAUCUUCUUCAGUAUGUAACCUCACGAUGAGGCCUUCAACAGAAAUUUUCUUUUCUUUAUGCUUCUAGUAAUUUUUAAAGUCGUUCCACAAAGGUGACAACUUUUCUAUUAUAGCCACUACUUUGAAAGCCUUAUUCACAAUCAAACCUACAACAAAGAUUAUAUGAUUGUUAAAAAGAACUUUAAUAUGUUCAAGUAAGGUACUCACUAUGUUUAUACCUUCUGCUAGGAGAUCAUGGAUGAUCACUUACAGUUGUUGCACUUGAGAGAUGAUAUUCUUACGGUUUGUCAUCUUAAAUACAAGAAAUUUUGCAAGAAGAACUAUUUAGUUCCAGCAUCCCCAGUUUUAUAUCUUAAUUCCGAUGCAUCCCAUAAUUUUUUCAAGGUUUUUAGACCGCUGUACACAUUGUACAGAUACUCUUGAAGACUACUUAGUAUAUAUUUCUUACAUGAAAAGUUUGAGCCUUUUCUUGCCUGCAUUACUAUAAAACGUUCCUUGUUCGGUAUCUCUUAGGGAAAUUGUUUAACAUUUUCAAAGAUAAACCUUUAAAAACUUAGAGUCGUCAAAUAGAAGAACAUCUUUUGCUACCAACGUUUGAAAUUCACACCUGGAAACAUUUUGAAUUUUUUUGUUGGUGCCAUAGUGAGCGCGACACUCGUAUGGCUUAUUGUAGCAACAGUUGUAGUUGCUAUACUUGUCUUUUUACCAUUUUAAUGACUUUCAACAGGCAUUUUUUCUGUCACAAAAAGACAACCAAUUUAGUAUGUCAGAAGAAUACUAACUAUAAAGUUUUAAAAACUCUAAGCACCAACUUGUUUCUAGUUUAACAGUGAAGUUUUUAUGUUUUUCAAAUCGUCAAUCGAAUGAACUUUAACUUGUGGUAAAAUUUUUAUAUCUUUAAAUCACUAUUAAGUUCAAACAGAGUAGAAAUUCAAAUUCUUUAAUCUUUAGAAGCAUAAAAAUACAGAGAUUUCAAUGAAUCAGUGAAGUAUUUAUAUUCUGCAAACCAAAUUCCCAAAUUGAUUUGUCGGUUAAGUUUUUAUAUUCUAUCUGUAUUGAUUAAUCAUGUGUUUCAAGGCAUCCCUAUACAUCUAUUAUCAAAACUCAAUCCUCCUAAAGGGGUACUAAGGCAUUUACAUAGCAUCUUUGCUAUGUUUUUCCGGAAGAACACCACAGAUAAGAAGAGUAGACAUUGGGUGAGUUGGGACACUUUAUGCUUACCUAAAUUAGAAGGAGGUGUUGGUUUUAGGUCUCUUUUUGAUGUUUCUAAUGUUCUUUUUUGUAAAAUUUUAUGGAACUUGAGGAGUAGACCUUCACAAUUGGGAGCUUUUAUGACCAACAAAUAUUGCAAAAAAGCUUCAUCCAGUAUUGACCUAAUGUAGGGGAGAUUCCCCUAUAUGGAAAAAGCUAAGAUUUGACAGAGAGCUCAUAGAGCAUCAAAUUUGGUGGAAGAUUGAGAAUGGGAAUUCUAGUUUUUGGUAUGACUUUUGGACUACAAUGGGAGCAUUAUAUCACAUUAUCGCAGAUAUAGGGGAUGGGGAAAUUGAAGUUAGGAAUUUUACAACUGUAAAUAGGUGGAAUGAGCAAAGUUUGAGUAAAUUUUUCCCUAAAGAGAAUGUAGAUUUCAUCAUUAAAAACAUCUGAUCUCCAAUGCAAAUAGAUAAUCUAGAUAAAUAGUGUGGAUGCUUGAACCUAGUGGAAUUUUCUCAGUCAAGAGUGUGUGUGAGUAUACUAUACAAAAGGAUCAGAAAGAAGACAUAUUUUAAUAUUUAUGGAGUGAUAAGCUGCCUUUUAAAAUAUCUUUUUUCACUUGGAGAAUGUGGAAAUUCAGGGUGCCAGUGGAUAAAAUAGUGCAACACAUGGGUGUUAACAUGGUUUCUAGGUGUUGGUGUUGCACUAAUGGUUACUAAUGUUGCAGGUAUAUACAUUGAAGGCUUACAGUUAUCACAAGUGAUCAUUAAAUGGUGGCCAAGAAAAUGUUGUUCAAACUUAAAGCUACUUAUGAGAGCUAUAUCAUCUAUAAUUAUUUGGAACCUAUGGAAGAGAAGGAAUAGAUUAAAGCAUUGAAAUACAUCAUCAUUUACUCAUUUAGUUUUCAAGGUCAACGCUAACCUAUGAAGACUCGGGAGAAUUCUACAUCCAAAAAUACAUGAUUUCCCAAUACACUGGUAAAAUAUUAUGGUAUAUUAAGAGAACCUUAAAGCCAAACUAUUUCAUCUUCCAAUUUGCUGGAAACCACUGGAAGGAUGUCUAAAAUACAACACUGAUGGUAUAUCAAGAGGCAAUCCAUGUAGGAGCACCUGCAAUUUCUUCUUGAGGAACUUUGCAGGUGAUUUAAUAUAUGCUCAAGGGGAAAAAAUUCAGGAAAGCACAAUUCUAGAAGCAGAAGCCAUGGCAAUAAAAAAGGCUCUAGCACACUGUGUGACAAAAGGGAUUACUAAAGUUAGUCUGGAAAUGGAUUCACUAAUGAUGAUUAAAAUUCUUACAAAAAUGUGAUUACCUUGGAAUAUUAUUGGGAUCGUGGAAGCAGAACAGAAAUAUUUAGAACUAUGUCAGGUUCACAUCCAACAUGUAUACAAAAAGGGUAAUUAUUUGGUUGAUUGCUAGCCAAUUUAGCUUUUGAUAAUACAGGUAGACUUGUCUUUAAUUUCUUCUCAGAAUUACCAAGUCAUGCCAGAAGGAUUUUGAAUCUAGAUAAGCAUCAAGUGCCAAAUUUAAGAAUUCGUACUAAGGAAAUAGUUAGAUAUAAGGAUGGGUGUCAAGGAUCCGUCACAACAAUUAUAAGAUGAGUUCAAGCAUUUUUAUUUUCUUGAUGUAGAUUAGUAUUUCUAGUACCUUUGUAGAGGAACAAUUCAUUUCAAAAACCCAAUUCAUAAGGGCAUUUAUAGAUCUAAAGUCAUUGUACUUGAGCGAAGAAUUAUAGAAGACAUGAUUAUAAGUCUUGGUACAGAUUCAAACUUCUUUGAGUCGUCACAGAUGCAAGUCAAAGCUAUAGGAAAACACACAGAUAUAAAGAUAAAUAUUUGCAAAGGGAAAGCCAACUUAUACCUGGAAAAAACUCCAAAAAUCUAUUUGAAGCAGGUUGUGGUCGGUUAAUAAGAAGCUCGCCGGAAGUCUUUCGCUCCAGGAGCUCAUCACCAAACAUUUUUGUUGCUAAAAAUAUUAGUAGGAAAGCCAAGAAAUAAAAAUAAUAUGGGAAAGGAGCUUACAUUUGUUUCACAGCAGGUCAUCACUUUCCUAUUUGCUCAAAUGAUGGAAGAUGAUGGAGAGGAAUUAGCAGAGCUUCUGAUUCAUUUGCCUCUUCAUUUUCUUACUUUUUGUAUUAUUAUUUCCAAGGAAAUGUAUCGAUUGGGAUGCUCUUUUUUUUAUGGACAUGGUUUUAUU
rnacentral:lncRNA from 1 species